rnacentral:rRNA from 1 species
UGGCAUCACGAGGGCUUAACUGUCUCCCCUCCCCAGUCAAUGAAAUUGAUCUCCCCGUGCAGAAGCGGGGAUAAUACCAUAAGACGAGAAGACCCUAUGGAGCUUUAGACGUCAGAGCAGCCCAUGUAAAGCACCCCUUAACAAAGGAAAAAACCAAAUGAAGCCUGCCCUAAUGUCUUUGGUUGGGGCGACCGCGGGGAAAUACAAAACCCCCAUGUGGAGUAGGAAUACACAUUCCUAAACCCAAGAGCUCCCGCUCUAAUGAACAGAAAUUCUGACCAAUAAGAUCCGGCACACGCCGAUCAACGGACCGAGUUACCCUAGGGAUAACAGCGCAAUCCCCUUAAAGAGCCCUUAUCGACAAGGGGGUUUACGACCUCGAUGUUGGAUCAGGACAUCCUAAUGGUGCAGCCGCUAUUAAGGNUUCGUUUGUUCAACGAUUAAA